AGGAGCUGGACGAGGGAAUAGAGAAACGCUGGGAGGAGGUCCAGACGUCCUGUCCAGAAGAAGACGGGGACCAAUCGUGCGGCUACCAAUCUCAGGUCCUCGUCCCUGCCCAGUCCGAGUUCGGAUCCAAACCUCCAGGCACCAACCCCACCCUCCAGGCGUAUUCCCACCAGCUGGCCUGCAUGGAGCAGGAACUGGAGCAUUUCCUGAGUGAGGUGCGCAACAGGCAGGGCACCCUGGGGGGCAAGGCAGGGAAGGAGAGGGACCCCCCGAAUCUGAAGAAGUGGAGCGCGGACAAACUGCGCAUCACCGUCUAUGAAAUUGCCGACAGCGAGCAGCCGGACCAGGCGUGGGGCAGAGGACGCAAGAGGAAGUUCAAGUAGAGAAAGGGGCACCGUGAAAUUUUGAGGUGUGCCCAGUGGGCGGCUGGCAGCCGGAAUGAAGGGGGCUCAGGAGUCACUGAGUAUCAUGAUUUGUCUUGGCACAUUUAUUAACAAUAAAUUAUGAAUCCAAUC